UACGUAGGGGGCUAGCGUUGUCCGGAAUCAUUGGGCGUAAAGCGCGUGUAGGCGGUCCGGUAAGUCCGCUGUGAAAGUCGGGGGCUCAACCCUCGGAUGCCGGUGGAUACUGUCGGGCUUGAGUACGGAAGAGGCGAGUGGAAUUCCUGGUGAGCGGUGAAAUGCGCAGAUAUCAGGAGGAACACCAAUGCGAAGGCAGCUCGCUGGGACGUUACUGACGCUGAGACGCGAAAGCGUGGGGAGCAAACAGG
rnacentral:rRNA from 1 species